AUUUGUUGGUAUGAGAAUGCAACACGAAGACUUUAAAAAAGGUUUAAAUGGUUAAAAACUCCAUUAUAUCUGAAAUAAAUAAAAUCUAAAACUCGUGCGGCCGUCUAUAAUAAAUAGGAAAAUGUAGGGAGUGAAUAUAAGAAGAGAAGAAGUUUUUGGGGGUCACAAUUUGCAAAAGAACAUGAAGGAUCAGAAUGUGUCACGUGUCUCUCACAUGGGUUUCCCGACGGGAAGCAAUUUGAGAGGACGAGUAAAGUCGGAAUAAAUGUGAGAGCUUCAUCUUGUGUGUCUGCCCUCUCUUCUUCCUUCGAAGCUGAGCUUUUUUUUGGGUUGCUUCACAGUUCAGUCACUCCACAAAGAGAUUCACAUGAUUUUUAGAAAGCAAAGUAUAAGAUCAAGCCAGAGAGUAGAAGAAUAAGAGGAAGGAUUGAUAAGAGCAAGAUAAGGAAUUUUAUAAACCAUGGGAGGUUAUGUGUUGGGUUCGGCCAGAUCGGGGCAGAUGAUAAUGGUGGCUCUGGUUCUAAUGCUUGGAUCAUUCUACGCCGGCUCUAUCAACCUUUUUCUUCUUCCAAUUCACUGGCAUGUACAGAUUAUAUAAUGUGAAGGUUUAGUAUGAAAAUAAUAUGAGUAUAAGGAUACUUCGGCUGUUGCCCAUAUCUAAAAGGAUACUUUAAUGUAUGGUAACUCCUUCUAUUGACUCUUAUCUCUUUUGGGGGACACUUGCUAUUGAUGCCCAAGCCAAGCUUUCAACCUUAAAAGACGAACUCUUUUUGUGAAACAAUCAAAUUAGCUUAGAGUGAACCUGCCACAUGUUUAAUGCUGGUUAAUCAUAUUCUGAAUCAGAUGAGAUGAUUUGUUUGUUGCGUCCUUUACCAUGUCGGGUGCUUGUAACUUUUGGAAUAACUGUUUUGGACGAUUCCCUAUCACCCAAAAGAGACAUAUUUGGGCAGUUCAAAUUUAUAACCUUUAUUCUUAUUAUUUAAGAUUAAGUUAUUAGUUUAACUAAGAAAUUAACCUGGUGGUGUUUCCUCUGUUCGGCAUUAUAGAGGACAAUCCAUCUUCAGCUACGUGACUCCUGUUAUGUGAAGUAAAAAUUAGAGACAAAAAGUAUAUGACGUAUUACUGCUACAAAAUCCAAAGCACCUGCUAGCUCCUUGUUUCCUCGUUAGUCUUCCAGGAAUUCCAGAGACCACACCAACAGAAAUUGUCUAUAGAAGAUAUAGGUUUUUGUAAAUAUGUAAUCAUAAUAACCUGGAACAAUAUAAUAUUAUUUCUGUUUUUCUUAAAAAAUGUAAGUGUUUUUAAAACCUGUGGCGGAAAGUCU
rnacentral:lncRNA from 1 species